UCCAGGGUAGCCUAGUGGACAUGGCACCUGCCCGGUAAGCAGAAGGUUGUGGGUUCGAUUCCCGCCCCUGGAA